GUCCGCCGUCUGCGCCGGCGGGUGGGCGGGACCCUCUGUAGCUCGGGCGCGGCCGGCCCGCGCGGGGACAGUCGGGCCUGGGGGCGGGACCCCCACGACCUUGUGUCGCGUUGUCAAGGGCGACGGCCGUUCGCGCGGGGCCGCCCGGGCAAUAGCCCGCAACUGGGCCUCCGUAUGUGCGUCCCAGAAACCGGGUGCAGAUAUUCGCACCCUCCGCGAACAGCGUGAAAAAGCGGCUCCGCGGCAGAAGCAGCUAACAUCUUCGGGGUCUUUGUCCCCGGCCUCUGGUCCAGACUGCUGGAAGUCAGUCUCUUCCAACCAAGUCAGGCCAGAUAGCUAAAAAGUGUGAAAAAGGAGAAUUUCGGGCUUGGCUUGCUUACACCAAAACUCUGGAGCCAAGGCCCACCAGCAAAACUGGGCUUAUGCAUUCAUUCCAAUUCUCUUGCCCUCCUGGAGGUGAAUUUGGUUGCGGAUUCGGACCGUCAACGUCACAGAGCUCCAAGCCACGUAAAACGCAGAUUUCUCUGGCAACGCCUGAAGUGGGGCUCAGGCGGCCCCCUGAUGACUGAGGUACACUGAAGACUGGCUGCCACAAACGAGUGGUAAAUAACUGCACAGAAACGAGUUGAGAUUGUGACAGGAUCUGCAAAGGACAGGAGCUGGGAGAGUGUCCUCCAGUGGGGCCUGGACGUAGCUGAGGCCGCGCGGGAGGGGAUGUGACGGGGAAUACUUAACACGAGGAAGGUGUCAAGCAUGAUUGCCAAGUUCCAGGCUUAAGCAGCUGAGAAGGGGAAUCUUGAAGAGUGGAAUAUUAUUCAGACAAGAAGGAAAUUCUGACAUACGCUCCCAUCCAUCAGUAAGAAUCAAGAUGCUAGCAAGAUCCCGGAUAAUUUAUCUGCACGCACGUUAAGCUUGAGAUGGAAGCACUGUCCCUCGGGACACACGGCACUAGAGGAUCGCGUGUUUCCUCAACAGUGGAACGGCCUGCGAUCCUCGACCUGACGGAGAGACCAGCUGGACCCAUCUUUGAACCUUGCCUCACUUGUCGCUGCUCAGGAGCCAAUCAAUAAACAUUUCCUGAGUGGACAGACCCGGUGCUUCUCUGAACAUCAGCUGGAGGCAGCAGGCGUGCUCAUUCCCAGGGGAAAGGGUCUGCGGCUCGAUGCCACCCACUGCCCGCUUCCCACAUGAGGACCCCUCCUCCUCGCCCAGGAAACCACAGCUCAGAACUCAAGUAUCUGGAGGGCGGGGAACAGUGAGAAGCAGCCCCCCAGGAACCCGAUAGUCCCCUGUGCUCUCGAGGGUGGAGACCUGACUGUCACGGGUGAUCCCGUUUCUGGUGGCUGAGCUCCUGUCAGCUCUGAGUGCCUCCUGAGUGGCCCCCUGGGCCCCCCUGCUCUUUUCUCUACAUCUCUUGGCUUUGGGAGCACAGCUGCGGUGCUGGCAUCUGAUCCCCAGGACUCUCCCUCUCCGUGCAGUGGCAUGAGGCAGCCCUCUUCUGUGGCCUUACCCCUAGUCUUCUGUGGCCCCAACCCUGUGCCCAGGUGUGAGGGGAGCCUGCAUGGGCUCAGAAAGGACCCCACAGGCCCCUUGCCAUCUUUUCCGGGAGUAUCCUCUCUCUGGACAGUUUCCUGAAUGACUUGUGGGACGCAGGGCCCUCACCUCACUUGCAACAUUCCCUAAAUAUGACCACCUUCCUCGAGGACCCUUUAUUGGAUCCAUAUCAUCAAUCUGCUUAUAUAUCACCACUAUAAAAAGUUUACAAGCCAUGGGGACCCAUGAUCAGACAUUAAACCCCUUUCCACACCUAAGCGCUCUCUAGGCAUCAGGUGGGAGGUGGGUCAGGGGUCAUCUACACCGGGAGCUGGAAGCUGUGGCUACUCUCAUUGACUGACACUGUCAUCCUUUCUUCUCUGGUGCCAAAGUAGCCACAUGGUCCUUUGUGAGGACCUGUGACCACCUACCACUGUCAGUGAUGCUCAAGAGGCUAUGCUGUACCACAGUGUCCGUCUCGCCAGGGUACCCCAGAGCUCACAGCGAACCUGUGGAAUAGAAGCCGUGCGGGGCGGAGGUGGGGGAGGGGAUGGUCAUAGGACUAUUCUCAAGGCUGGAGGAAAAGCUCCUUUCCAGCACAAGGCGCGAGUCUGACUGGGGCCCACGUCCGCCCUGGGUGCUCAUGAAUUCAGGCCAGAUGCUGCCUCUGUUCUCCCACCUUACAGAGGGGUGGACACACAUCUGAACAGCACUUGUUACCUAGUGUUGCUACUUUUCACAAGGCUGGGAAGGCAGAGGGGCUUGCUC
ensembl:lncRNA